rnacentral:misc_RNA from 1 species
UCAGAUUUAUCAAAAAACAGGUUUGGCGAACUUCCACUUGAAGUGUGCGAGUUCUUUCUGUUAGAAAGGCUGAACUGUUACCACAAUAUGAUUCGAUCUCUUCCUGACUCGAUAAUAACUUUGCAUUCAUUAACACAUUUAAAUCUCAGUCGUAACCAACUUUCAACCAUUCCGCCAGCACUUUGCCAACUUCCAUUAGAGCUUUUAGAUGUUAGCAACAACAAACUUGUGUCUCUUCCUGAAGAGAUAGGCCACAUGCAGUGUUUAAUAGAUCUGGAUGUGAGCUGUAAUGAAAUAACCAUCCUUCCACCUCAGAUAGGAGAUCUACAGUCUUUAAGGUCAUUUAACAUAAGGAGAAACCUUCUAGUUGAAUUACCACCUGAAUUUUGUGAACUUCACCUAGUCAAGUUAGAUAUAUCUGGUAACAGAAUAUCCUCACUGCCCACUGCACUUCGGCAGAUGAAAAUGCUGCAGAAACUUGUUUUAUAUCAUAAUCCUUUGACUUCUCCUCCAUCAUAUUUGUGUGCAAGGGGAAAAAUACAUAUAUUUAAGUACCUAGAAAUACAGUUCAUCCGGGAAGAUAAGAAACAGGGACUGCUGUUAAAUUCUGAAUUCCACCAUUCAUGUAGGAAACCUACACUCUUGAAUGACUUCCGCUAUCAAAAUGGUUUAACAGACAAUAGAAGGAAGAGAUACACUGUUGAUUCAGGAUACAAUACUUCAGAUGGAGGGGACAGGCGAUGGUCUCAAGAGUUACAAGAUUUGAACAGUGAUGCAGAAGAGGCCCGUAAGCUGGCUUUACGAGCUGCUGAAUUUACCAAAGAACAAAGGCAAGAAAGAGAACGAGGUUUACAACAACGCUUUUCUGGCACUGAAUGUCCACCAUCUUCUAAUGGAAGUACUAGCUUGUCCUCUACACUGUCUGGACUUAGUAGUUUAAGCACUCCUAGUACACUAAGUCCAGGUUCUGAAUUCAACUUUGAAGAAGAAAUAAACAUGGCUCUUCAACAGAAAUACAGUAAGUCAAGCCAGGAAGAAGAAAAAGACAGAGAAGAAAGGAGAAAGAUAGCACAAAAGUUAUUAGAUCAACACAGAGAAGAUAUCAGAAAAUCACAAGAGUUAAGUGCUGGCGUUCCUAUGCUAGGGGCUGGUGAUGCUCCUGUCUUGGAGGAAGGGCAAGAACUAAUGCAGGCCAACCGACAGAAACCAUACUCACACAUACAAACAUACAAAGAGUACAAAGAGGCCAUUAAAUUUCAGCGAUCUGUUGACAACAACCUGUACAGAAGUUGUAAUGGUAACUCAUCACCAGAUACUAAAACAGAGAUGAUACUUAACUAUCAGUGUGUUGCUACUGCAACACCAAAGUCCAGCUACUCAUGUCCUGAGAAGGUAUUAACAUAUCAACAAAGAAGCGAGGCAGCACUGACCCAGCAGUGUCUCAAAGAAGAAAGGAAUAAACGUAAACAAAUGCAAAAGGAAGCUGUGCUAUCCUAUGUUAAGCAACGCACAAGUCCUAUGGCAGAUGUGUCUGAUGUAUUUCAAGACAACAAUGUAUCCAUGCAUUAUACACCUAUAGAAUGUGGAUUAAAUGGAACAGUUCUUUCAUCUAGGCUUCAGUCAGGCUUAAGAACAAUUUCUAAUCAGCCAAUUCAGGUUGUUAAUACUAACUUCACCUUUAGACGGGAAUUUGAAAAAGCAAGAGAGGAGCGAGAGUUGACUGAACAAUUAAGAAGGAUUAUAGAGUCUAGGCUGAAAGUGACACUACCAGAUGACCUAGGGUCUGCUUUAAUGGAUGGGGUAGUUCUGUGCCAUUUAGCCAAUCAAGUACGACCACGUUCCGUUGGUAGUAUACAUGUGCCUUCACCUGCUGUGCCUAAGCUAACGAUGGCAAAAUGCAGAAGAAAUGUAGAAAAUUUUUUAGAUGCCUGUUACAGGAUUGGAGUACCUAAGGAGGUUAUAUGUUCUCCCCAGGAUGUAUUGGAAGAGCGAGGCUUAGCAACAGUGGCCAUUACAGUACAGGAGUUGCUCAAACAAUCUUUUGACACAAAAUUUCAAGUUACUUAAUUUUUUAAGUACGGUACAGUGUGAAUCAUAUACUAGCCAUUAUUGCCACAUUUGUUGUAGUUUUUUUCCCACCAAAACUGAUUAGUUAAUCAGCAAUUUAUUUUUGAAAAACUAGUCGUCUUCUAAAUUUCCUGUAAUUCUUAUAAACUGUGCAUUUUUCAUUUUAUACAUACAUAUAUAUGUGUAUAUGUAAUUGUUUAGAGAUACAUCAAAUUCACAUAAUCACAUGAUUUUGAUUUAGGUAAGAACAACGUUAUUCGUUUUAAUGUUGUGUUUUUUAAUGGUUAUUGUUUAAGGUGGGGUGCCCAAAUUGUUUUAAUUCUGGAUAGACUUUAAAGUUGGAGUGAGGUUUGAUGAUCUUCGUGGUGAUGAGCAAGACUUUCACAAUAUAUUCUGAGUGAAGAAAGAUACUCCCUCCCAACUAUUUUAAACAAAUGCAGAAGUAUUUUUACUGUGAUUUAAGAAUUUCACUUUAUUCUUCAUUAAUAUUUCUAAAACAUUGUGUUUCUUUUUAGUAACUCUUGUUUUGUCUGGAUUAAUCAGUAAAAGUUUGGAUAUUUGUAUUGUUCCCAUAAGAAUAAACAGUAGUUUAUACUGUAACGGAGGAAGUAUUAUAUGCAGGAAAAGUUAUAUAGGUGCAGUACUGGUAUAAAAACCAAGAAGUUAAUGUACUGAAAUUACAAAUGCAAAUUCCUUCUUUUGCAGGUAAUGUUUCAGCAUCUUUUUUUUUUUUUGUUAUAUUGCCUCUAUUAAGUUAGAUGGUAGCAAAUGGUAUUUUAAAGUUUGAAAUUCAAACUAUUUUUUGUUUAUUUUGUCAAAUAAGAUCUAUUUCUUACAAAGCUGUAAAAAAAGGUAAAUAUUGGAAGUAUAUGAUUGACUACAUUCAUUUGUAUUUUAAUCAUCUACAUCAUUAUGAAGACUGCAGUAUGUAGAAAAAAAAUGUAUGACCUAAUUAUCAAUUUAAGCAUUUUUUUGUGAUUUGUUCUUGAACACUUUUAACAAAAUAAUCUUAUAUUGAUGUUUUUCUUAGCAGUGAGUGGGUUCAACUAUCUGAUUUUUUUUUUUGCCUUCAUUGUAAAUAUUGAUCUUUAUUUCUAUGUUUCGGUUCUUUUUUAAAGUUUUCAUAGAAAAAGCUGCCAGAAAACUAAGACCACUUGUUUGUUUUUUUUGUGUUAUUGCCUUGGAAAUGUUGCUCAAAGUAGUAUAAAUGUACAGACUCCAGAAUAUUUUGUUUGGAGGUUGUAAUUUUCACACUGUUUUAACUUGGUAUUAAUUUUAUACUAGUAGGAAAUCGGUGUUACCUGUAUCUAUGACUGUUCAAAUACAUUUACUACUAGAGAGUAAUAAAAAGUAUUUUUUUAUUUAAACGUUAUUUUUAUCACUAGUUUCAUUUAAUAUAGAAAAAAUCCUAGUCUUCUCACUAAGGAAAGUCGUUUUUUCUUGUACCAUUUUCCACCAUUUACCACUCUGAUACCGGUUUUUUGUAACAUACCAUUGGUCAUUAGCUGUAAUUAUUCCUUUACAUUACUGCUACUACUUUAAUCAUGGUAUUAUAUAGAAUUUGAUAUAGUGACUGUGUUGUGAAAUUCAGUAGUUCAACUAGCUUGAAUACUUUAAAGUUGACAAUUGUGAGAUUCUAGAUAUCAAAGUCAGUUGCAGUUGGGUUGAUUAAGAUGAAUUAUGUGAUGCUAAAGUAGGCUGCACUUGUAAGUGAUAACAGGAAAGUCAAAGAUAUAAGCAAAAAUUGUUUGACUGACAAAGUUUUAGCAAUUACUGAUAUUUAAAUUAGAGCAGAGGACAAAUGUUUAAAACAUUACCAAUGUAAAUAAACACUCUGAUCCUAUUUGUUAUUUUACCUACAUGUGUUACUUUUCAUCACACGCAAUGUUCCCUAUGAAUAGACUAUUACUAAUAGUUACGCAGAAAAACCUUUUAUAAUGUGUGUGUGUUUGUUUUUGUGUUGACUGAGCUAGAUCAGCCCUUGUGUAAGGUUCAGGUGCUCUACAGAUGUUAACUCAUUUAAUCUUUUGGUAAAAAGUAAGUUCUAGAUAGUUUACAGUUAGAAUACAAAAAAUUAUAACUCGAGAGAGAAGCACAUUUAUGUGCUUGAGUUUAAAAUAUAGCAUUUUUUUUGAAAACCUUAGUUUGUCUUCCACUCAAAUUGAAAACAAAUUUCAGUGCUUGUUACAUAUUCAACUCUCUUUCAUUCAACAUACAUAUAUUUUUUGAAAGAAAAGUUAUGCUAAUAUUUUUUUCAUAGAAUUGAAAUAUUACUCUCCACAUGGACAGCAGCUUUUGAAACCAAAUGGAAAAUUUACAAAACAAACAAUGCACUUUUUGUAGGUACGUGAAAUUAAGGAAGGUAAAUAUAACUUGCUUUAAUGUUGUCUUUUCAUCUAAAAGGCAUUGCUUAGAUCCUUUUCCAAAACACUUUGCUGUUCAUACUCGGGAUUUUAGAACUUUUAUUCAACAAGAUCUGACAGUUACUGAAGUCAGUUCAUUAUACCCUAAUCACUAUUUAGUUUCUACAGAUUAUUUACUCGUAAUUGAUUGAGAAAAGAUACUUAUAAAAAUAUUUAUGCUCCUUCUUACAGAAGGCUGCUAUUCACACUUCAAGUAUUAUUUCACUCAGUAGUAGUUUCAUGUUAAAUAUGCUAUAGUUUGUGCAAUAUUUCAGUAUAAAUUAGAUAUGAUAGUAUUGUUUUAAGGUGGAACGAUAAAUACAGGAAUUACGUGUCUGUAAAGAAGGAUUUUUUUCUUUCAUAAUACUAAAUAAUUUUUCUGUAAAGUGAGAAAUAUUUUUGAAUACUAAAGGGAGCUAAGUGUAUAUAGGCAAAAUUUUCAUUUAAUGAAGAGAAAACAAAUAUUUCAGGGUUACAGACAGAAAUAAGAUACUUGUAAGUUGAUUAAUAAUGAUCAUAGGGUUUUAAUUAUGUGUAUUAUUAUACUACAUAGGGUGUGUGUUAGUAUUUUCACAUUGGAUGGUAAAAAUAUCUUGUAGAAGUUUUAGUAUAUUCUUGUUGGUUUGAUACCAUACCAUACACUGGACUUUCUCUUUAUUUCAAUCAAGAAAACAUGUUUAACCCUGUGUUGUUUUUCAAUAUGAAACGACAUAAAAACCAAGACCUCCAGAUUCAUGAAAUAUUCUUUAAUAUCAGUUUUCUAACUGAUUUAUAUAAUUCAAACCAUAUGGUUAACUUCUUUGUUAAAUGUAAAAAUUGUACUAAAUGCAUGUUGAGUUUUUUGGCAUUGGUAGUUCAAUUGAUAUUUACAAAAUUUAUUUCGUGUUGAAUAUUUAGAUAAACUGAUGACUGUUUUUAAGAUCAUUGUGUAAUAAUCAAUAGAAGUCAUGAGCACUGAAUCACUUGUUUUAUUCUAGGACCUACUUUUAUAUUAUUUCAUAAUUUUUGACAUGUUUUAUUGAAAAAGGACUGAUUUUUUGUUGUUUGGAAAGUAGGUAACAUAUUUUAAAUUUAUAGCAGAUAAGAGGGAGAAAAGCUGGAACUUAUAGAAAAUAUGACUUACCUUAAAAGUUGUAUCUAAAUCUAUAUAAUCAUAUCUUCCAGAAAAGAGGAAACAAAAAAAGACUGCAAUGAAAGUUUUACAGUGUCAUUUAUAGCCUAAACUUCCAUGCUGAUUUUUGGGACAUUUCUUACUUAGUAUCAAAGUUUUUUUGCCUCUGUCACAUUGAAAUGUUGGAUUAGCCUAAUUCAGCCUUUGAAUGAUUCUAUAUAUGUAUUUAUUAAUUUGAAAAUAUAGAUUUAAAUCCUUAUAAUUUGUUUUAUUGAUUAAUCAUCAAAUUUGUAUAUGUUUUGGCAAGUACUUUUAUUUCUUAGGUCUUAAAAAGGCAUAUUAUUAUUUUUAUUUUUUUGUGAGAGAGCUUGCAGGCUUUUACUUAAUCUUUGUACAGUUACAUUUUAUUGUAAAGAUAUGUAAUAUUUUAUGACCAGGAGAAGUUGUUUUGAGUUUGAAGUAAAAUGGUUGAGGGUCACUUAACUGUAUAGUCUGUACUUUAUUGUGUUUUUCUGUAGAGAAUAUUUAUAUUAUUCACUCAACAUGAUGACGUGUACAGAACUUGAAAUAAAUUUGAUUAAUGAAAAAAUGUAUGAAAUUGCAAAUUUGAACAUUAGUUACUUAUUGAUACUUACAGUAUUGUAGGCAAGGAGAUGCUAGUUUUAAAAACUUACAGUAUAUCUAAGAGAAGGCUUUGCAUGAUGUUUAAUGCCUUUUUUUAAAACAUGUUUUACUUUCAAGAAAGUGAGUAGCUGUAGACUUGCAGAAUACGUUGAAUCUACUAAACAAGACAUAGUUGUUAAUAAAACUUCUAACAGAAAUCAAUGAACUGAAGUUAGAACUAGAAUUAUGGAGUUAUAUAGAUCUACUUGGUUGUAUAAAGAAAUCUUUUUGAAAAUAAAUCAUUUUGACAUCCUUUU